rnacentral:rRNA from 1 species
UACGUAGGGCGCAAGCGUUGUCCGGAAUUAUUGGGCGUAAAGAGCUCGUAGGCGGCUUGUCACGUCGGAUGUGAAAGCCCGGGGCUUAACCCCGGGUCUGCAUUCGAUACGGGCAGGCUAGAGUGUGGUAGGGGAGAUCGGAAUUCCUGGUGUAGCGGUGAAAUGCGCAGAUAUCAGGAGGAACACCGGUGGUGUAAACGGCUUUCUGGACCAUAACUGACACUGAGGCACGAAAGCGUGGGUAGCAAACAGG